ensembl:lncRNA
CUCCAGUACCGUACCCAGGCAGUCAUGUCACAAUUCCCAGUACGAAUGAUGUCUUGAGCUUUCAAGUUUACUAGCUCUGCAGUGUUAUGCCAUGCCAUAUGACUGUGUAAUGUUUUUUCAUAUAGCUUUUCAUUUUCAACACAAAUAUUACUGUCUCGUGUUGUUCAUAGAGGGUUUUUCGAUGAUCCCUUUAAAGUUGAAAAGGGUUCUCAGUUGAAGCAUUCAGGGUUCUAAUAGGAAAGUUUGACUGAUAAUGGUUCUGAGAAGAACCAUAUACAGGUUGUUACAGGAAUUAUCCAAAAUAGGUUUUCUAUGUAGAAAUCUCAUUUGGUCCUACAUAUCAUAUUAUUUUAUAUGUAGGACUACUAACCCUGAUAACCUCUCUGAGUCUGGUUUCUUCCUAAAUUUCAGCCUUUUAGGGAGUUUUUCGUAGCCACUGAAAUUCAACAGUUUUGUUCUUUGCACCUAGGGGUUUCAGGCUAGGUGUUUUGUAAAAGCACUUUGUGACAACUGCUGAUGUAAAAAGUGCUUUAUAAAUGAAUGUGAUUGAUUGAUUUUGCAAUUUUUAGAAUUUUGAGAGAAAAACACUGUGGAAGACAUGUAACUUUUUUCACUCUUACCUAUUUUACUCUUUAAUUUACUAUUAUCCCCAGCGUGCUGAAGCUUUCAACAGUGUGCUGAAAAGAUCAUGGAUUUUUCACUGGCAAAGCUACUUUGAGGUACAUAGUUCUGUGUCCCUUUAAUCUUCUCUUACCUUUUUGUUAUCCAUAUAUGUCAGGGGGUGGACUAUUAAGCACCAUGUUAUUGUCAUGUUUACCUUUUUAUUAGUCCAACAUUUAGGUCACUGUUAUGUACUUAGUGUAUGUCUUCUUACAUAAUUUUCUCUUUGAUAAAUCUUGCUUAUACCAUUAUUUGUAUAAUAGUACUGUUAUUCCUUUGAAGUCCAUGCAGGUUACUGAUUUGUUGGACAUAUCUAAUCCUAUACACAUGUGAGUACUUGUGCGGUUACAGAGAAUCAUUGCAGUCUGAUCAGAUUCCAUCUAUUCCAACAAUUUUCACUCUAGUAAUUAACCACCUUUAGGGUAAAUGCUGUCUACGUCUGCUUAAUGUAUUUCAUUUGUAGACACUUGGUCCAAUACUGCUACCUCACACUUGUUGAGAAGCAGCUUCAAACAGAACAGAACGAAUGGAAUGACCACAUGAUCCGGAAGCAAGUUGGAGCAGCUGGGCCUUUUGGAAAACCAAACAUCAUGUAUUUCACACCUACCACUGGAACACCGAAUCUGCUUUGUCCAGUGGACAGAGACCUGACACACUAUGCCGCAACACUGGUGUGUGAAGAUGGAGCAGCACUGCUGGUUGCUAAUGAAGCUUUCCGAACACUCUGCCACAGAGUUCUUGCUCGUUCUGCUCUCCACAUUGACCACAUGUGUGUAGAGCGGUCGAUGGCUGCAUAUGUGUGCCUGAAGAACUUUUUCUUAGAAAAGUUGAUUGAUCUUUCAGUUGAUCAGCCUCAAAAUUUUGAAGAGGCUUGCCUUUUUUAUAUUACCAUUUAGGAUCCUUACAAUGAAUUAAUAUUAAGGACCUAGUAAGGUGUAGGCCAAACCAUUGUUAUCAGAACCUGACCUACUGUGUUUUUGGGUCAUUUACCUGUUUUUUCACAUCUUUUGCCAGCCUUUACCUGCGCAGUAGCCAGCCUCUAUUCUUUGGAUUUAGACCUAUAGCCUGCCAGACUAUUUUGCCUGGCUGCUGUUUUUGUCUUAUUGCCUCAAAUAAAACCCUUUUAUGCUCUACGCAUGCAUCUAUACCUGCCUGUGGGUCGUAUUCCUUACACCUACACUCCUCGUUCAAUUUUGAAUUGUUUACA